GAUGAACGCUGGCGGCGUGCUUAACACAUGCGAGUCGAACGGAAAGGCCCAAGCUUGCUUGGGUCCUCGAGUGGCGAACGGGUGAGUAACACGUGGGUGAUCUGCCCUGCACUUCGGGAUAAGCCUGGGAAACUGGGUCUAAUACCGGAUAGGACCACAUUUUGGAUGGUGUGGUGGAAAGUUUUUCGGUGUGGGAUGAGCUCGCGGCCUAUCAGCUUGUUGGUGGGGUAAUGGCCUACCAAGGCGUCGACGGGUAGCCGGCCUGAGAGGGUGUACGGCCACAUUGGGACUGAGAUACGGCCCAGACUCCUACGGGAGGCAGCAGUGGGGAAUAUUGCACAAUGGGCGCAAGCCUGAUGCAGCGACGCCGCGUGGGGGAUGACGGCCUUCGGGUUGUAAACUCCUUUCGCUAGGGACGAAGCGCAAGUGACGGUACCUGGAGAAGAAGCACCGGCUAACUACGUG
rnacentral:rRNA from 1 species